UACGUAGGGUCCGAGCGUUGUCCGGAAUUAUUGGGCGUAAAGAGCUCGUAGGCGGCCUGUUGCGUCCGCUGUGAAAUCCCAGGGCUUAACCCUGGGCGUGCAGUGGAUACGGGCAGGCUGGAGGCAGGCAGGGGAGAACGGAAUUCCCGGUGUAGUGGUGAAAUGCGUAGAUAUCGGGAGGAACACCAGUGGCGAAGGCGACUUCCUGGCCUGUUCUUGACGCUGAGGCGCGAAAGCUAGGGGAGCAAACAGG
rnacentral:rRNA from 1 species